rnacentral:rRNA from 1 species
GCCUUCAUAUUUGUGUAAUGAUCCUCUCUCCGUAAGGGUGAACCUGCGGAGGGAUCAUUACACAAAU